AUUGAACGCUGGCGGAAUGCUUUACACAUGCAAGUCGAACGGCAGCACGGACUUCGGUCUGGUGGCGAGUGGCGAACGGGUGAGUAAUGUAUCGGAACGUGCCCAGUCGUGGGGGAUAACGUAGUGAAAAUUACGCUAAUACCGCAUACGAUCUAUGGAUGAAAGCGGGGGAUCGCAAGACCUCGCGCGAUUGGAGCGGCCGAUAUCAGAUUAGGUAGUUGGUGGGGUAAAGGCCCACCAGGCCAACGAUCUGUAGCUGGGCUGAGAGGACGGCCAGACGCAUUGGACAUGCGACGCGGUCCAGACUCCUACGGGGGGCAGCAGUGGUGAAUUUUGGACAAUGGGCGAAAGCCUUCUCCAGCCAUUCCGGGUGCAGGAUGAGAGCCCUCGGGUUGUAAACUGCUUUUGUAAAGAACGAAAAGGUUUCUACUAAUACUAGGAGCUCAUGACGGUACUGUAAGAAUAAGCACCGGAUAACUACGUGCCAGCAGCCGCCGUAA
rnacentral:rRNA from 1 species